GGACCCGCACAAGCGGUGGAGUAUGUGGUUUAAUUCGAUGCAACGCGAAGAACCUUACCAGGGUUUGACAUCCUGCGAAUCUCUUGGAAACAGGAGAGUGCCUUCGGGAGCGCAGUGACAGGUGGUGCAUGGCUGUCGUCAGCUCGUGUCGUGAGAUGUUGGGUUAAGUCCCGCAACGAGCGCAACCCACGUCUUUAGUUGCCAGCAUUUAGUUGGGCACUCUAGAGAGACCGCCGGUGAUAAACCGGAGGAAGGUGUGGAUGACGUCAAGUCAUCAUGCCCCUUACAUCCUGGGCUACACACGUACUACAAUGCUACGGACAAAGAGCAGCAAGUUCGCGAGGACAAGCAAAUCUCAUAAACCGUGGCUCAGUUCAGAUCGUAGGCUGCAACUCGCCUACGUGAAGGCGGAAUCGCUAGUAAUCG
rnacentral:rRNA from 1 species